rnacentral:rRNA from 1 species
CCUACGGGAUGCAGCAGUGAGGAAUAUUGGUCAAUGGACGAGAGUCUGAACCAGCCAAGUAGCGUGAAGGAUGACUGCCCUAUGGGUUGUAAACUUCUUUUAUAUGGGAAUAAAAUGUUCCACGUGUGGGCUUUUGUAUGUACCAUAUGAAUAAGGAUCGGCUAACUCCGUGCCAGCAGCCGCGGUAAUACGGAGGAUCCGAUCGUUAUCCGGAUUUCUUGGGUUUAAAGGGACCGUAGGUGGAUUGUUAAGUCAGUUGUGAAAGUUUGCGGCUCAACCGGGAAAUUGCAGUUGAAACUGGCAGGCUUGAGUACAGUAGAGGUGGGUGGAAUUCGUGGUGUAGCGGUGAAAUGCGUAGAGAUCAGGAAGAACUCCGAUUGCGAAGGCAGCUCACUGGAC